UCCUCCCUGAACCGCCACCUUAUCGUGGUGGAGGGGUUUGUAUGCCUGAGUGAUCCUAAGAGCUAUGUUGUCGGGGGCAAAUGCUCCUGGUAGGGUCUCCCAAGGCAAACAGGGCUUAGGUGACAGCUCAGACUAAGUGCGGU
rnacentral:ribozyme from 1 species